CCUACGGGAGGCAGCAGUGGGGAAUCUUGCACAAUGGAGGAAACUCUGAUGCAGCGAUGCCGCGUGAGUGAAGAAGGCCCUUGGGUUGUAAAGCUCUUUCGUCGGGGAAGAAAAUGACUGUACCCGAAUAAGAAGGUCCGGCUAACUUCGUGCCAGCAGCCGCGGUAAUACGAAGGGACCUAGCGUAGUUCGGAAUUACUGGGCUUAAAGAGCUCGUAGGUGGUUAAAAAAGUUGAUGGUGAAAUCCCAAGGCUUAACCUUGGAACUGCCAUCAAAACUUUUUAGCUAGAGUGUGAUAGAGGUAAGUGGAAUUUCUAGUGUAGAGGUGAAAUUCGUAGAUAUUAGAAAGAACACCAAAUGCGAAGGCAACUUACUGGGUCACUACUGACACUGAGGAGCGAAAGCAUGGGUAGCGAAGAGGAUUAGAUACCCUCGUAGUCCAUGCCGUAAACGAUGUGUGCUAGACGUUGGAAAUAUAUUUUUCAGUGUCGCAGCGAAAGCAUUAAGCACACCGCCUGGGGAGUACGACCGCAAGGUUAAAACUCAAAUGAAUUGACGG
rnacentral:rRNA from 1 species